GACGAACGCUGGCGGCGUGCUUAACACAUGCAAGUCGAACGCUGAAGCACCAGCUUGCUGGUGUGGAUGAGUGGCGAACGGGUGAGUAAUACGUGAGUAACCUGCCCUUGACUCUGGGAUAAGCCCGGGAAACUGGGUCUAAUACUGGAUGCUACAUGUCACCGCAUGGUGGUGUGUGGAAAGGGUUUUCUGGUCUUGGAUGGGCUCACGGCCUAUCAGCUUGUUGGUGAGGUAAUGGCUCACCAAGGCGACGACGGGUAGCCGGCCUGAGAGGGUGACCGGCGACACUGGGUCUGAGACACGGCCCAGACUCCUACGGGAGGCAGCAGUGGGGAAUAUUGCACAAUGGGCGAAAGCCUGAUGCAGCGACGCCGCGUGAGGGAUGACGGCCUUCGGGUUGUAAACCUCUUUCAGCAGGGAAGAAGCCACAAGUGACGGUACCUGCAGAAGAAGCGCGGGCUAACUACGUG
rnacentral:rRNA from 1 species